rnacentral:misc_RNA from 1 species
AUACCUCACUCUUGAAAUCUUUUAUUAGACUUCAAGAUGUGGACUUUGGAGGUUUUUGCAGGCUAUCACUGGUCAGCUCCUCUUAAAUGUAUUAGCGGAACUCUACGCAGUACCGGCUUCAGUUUGAUAAUCCUAUCUAUGCUGUCGCUGUGAACUGUGCUGUUUGGCUUAUAACUGUCUUUUAUCAAAGACUACCAUUUACUUGGUAAAAUUUUUAA